GGAGAGAUGGCCGAGUUGGCUGAAGGCGCUCGCCUGCUAAGUGAGUGUAGGGCGAAAGCUCUACCGAGGGUUCGAAUCCCUCUCUCUCCGCCA
rnacentral:tRNA from 1 species